rnacentral:rRNA from 1 species
AUGGCAGUGGCGAGUACCUCUUCAUCUCUCCACCUCCUGCCUCUCCUACUCGUACUCCUACUCGCUGCCACCAGCGAGGCCACCACAUUCAAAAUCAUCAACCAAUGCUCCUACACCGUGUGGCCAGCCGCUCUGCCAGGAGGUGGCGUGAAGCUCGAUCCGGGGGAGACGUGGGCGCUGAAUGUGCCCGCUGGUACCUUAGCAGGGCGCAUCUGGGCGCGCACAGGCUGCUCACUCCUUGGCGAAGGCGGGUCAUGCCAAACUGGCGACUGCAGCGGCUUGCUCGCCUGUACGGUCAGUGGUCGAUCGCCAAACACGCUGGGGAAGGUCAGGGUGCAGCAAGGGGCCAAGGUGCGCAGCCAACAUCACAUCGCAGUGCCCAAGAGAGCUAAAGGCUCCGGGAGGGUGUAA